rnacentral:snRNA from 1 species
GUGCUCGCUUCAGCAGCACAUAUACUAAAAUUGGAACGAUACAGAGAAGAUUAACAUGGCCCCUGCACAAGGAUGACACGCAAAUUCGUGAAGUGUUCCAUAUUUAA